rnacentral:lncRNA from 1 species
CUUUUCUCAUGCGUUGAAGCCAAGAGGAGGAAGAAGGGAUGUCGCCAAGGUCUUCUUUCCCUUGCACCUUGCUUGCGGUUGAACCAAGGGAGGAGAGGGGAGGGUGGCGGCAGCAAGAGGAGGGCUUCAAGUGCAUUAGGGCGCUGGCCCCUUGCCUCCUCUUAUAUAGCCAUCUAGGGCUCCUACAAUCUAGGAGCCCUAGAGUUAAUUCCAUAAGAAGGGGGCGCCGGCCCCUCUCUU